CAGCUGCCGCGGUAAUACAGAGGGUGCAAGCGUUAAUCGGAAUUACUGGGCGUAAAGCGCGCGUAGGUGGUUUGUUAAGUUGGAUGUGAAAUCCCCGGGCUCAACCUGGGAACUGCAUCCAAAACUGGCAGGCUAGAGUAGGGCAGAGGGUGGUGGAAUUUCCUGUGUAGCGGUGAAAUGCGUAGAUAUAGGAAGGAACACCAGUGGCGAAGGCGACCACCUGGGCUCAUACUGACACUGAGGUGCGAAAGCGUGGGGAGCAAACAGGAUUAGAUACCCCCGUAGUCCCUGUCUCUUAUAC
rnacentral:rRNA from 1 species